rnacentral:rRNA from 1 species
UAAUACGUAGGAUGCAAGCGUUGUCCGGAAUUAUUGGGCGUAAAGAGUUCGUAGGCGGUUGCCUAAGUCUGGUGUUAAAUACAGGAGCUCAACUCCUGCAUGGCAUUGGAAACUGGGCGGCUAGAGUGUGGUAGAGGUCACGGGAAUUCCAGGUGUAGCGGUGAAAUGCGUAGAUAUCUGGAGGAACACCAGUGGCGAAAGCGCGUGACUGGACCAUAACUGACGCUGAGGAACGAAAGCCAGGGUAGCGAAAGGGAUUAGAUACCCCUGUAGUCCUGGCCGUAAACGAUGGAUACUAGGUGUAGGAGGAUUCGACCCCUUCUGUGCCGUAGCUAACGCGCUAAGUAUCCCGCCUGGGGAGUACGGCCGCAAGGUUG